rnacentral:rRNA from 1 species
UACGUAGGGGGCAAGCGUUGUCCGGAUUUACUGGGCGUAAAGAGCGUGUAGGCGGCCUGAAAGGUCAGCUGUGAAAACUCGAGGCUCAACCUCGAGACGUCGGUUGAAACCAUCUGGCUAGAGUCCGGAAGAGGAGUGUGGAAUUCCCGGUGUAGCGGUGAAAUGCGCAGAUAUCGGGAAGAACACCCGUGGCGAAGGCGGCGCUCUGGGACGGUACUGACGCUGAGACGCGAAAGCGUGGGGAGCGAACAGG